rnacentral:rRNA from 1 species
AUUGAACGCUGGCGGCAGGCCUAACACAUGCAAGUCGAACGGUAACAGGAAACAGCUUGCUGUUUCGCUGACGAGUGGCGGACGGGUGAGUAAUGUCUGGGAAACUGCCUGAUGGAGGGGGAUAACUACUGGAAACGGUAGCUAAUACCGCAUAACGUCGCAAGACCAAAGAGGGGGACCUUCGGGCCUCUUGCCAUCGGAUGUGCCCAGAUGGGAUUAGCUAGUAGGUGGGGUAACGGCUCACCUAGGCGACGAUCCCUAGCUGGUCUGAGAGGAUGACCAGCCACACUGGAACUGAGACACGGUCCAGACUCCUACGGGAGGCAGCAGUGGGGAAUAUUGCACAAUGGGCGCAAGCCUGAUUCAGCCAUGCCGCGUGUAUGAAGAAGGCCUUCGGGUUGUAAAGUACUUUCAGCGGGGAGGAAGGGAGUAAAGUUAAUACCUUUACUCAUUGACGUUACCCGCAGAAGAAGCACCGGCUAACUCCGUG